UGUCCUCUGUGCCCUCAGAGCCUAGAGGGAAAACAUCGGUUACCUAAGUCACCUAAGUCCUAGGGUAAAAAUUCUACUGGCCGCACAAAACACAAGUGCUGUAAACACGUCCUUCCAGGCGCUUUUUCAGAUGCUAGAAAACUCACUGCCCAUUCCCUCUACUGGAAAGGACAGGAGCAGAUGCUUUUGAUUAAUAUGGAAAUAAAAAGAAGCAAUGGUGGCAGUACUUGGUUUCGUGGCAGUUGUUUAGAGAUUUAUUGACACAGAGAUAAAUUUCAGUCUGGGGCAUCUCUGUAUUUCAUGUCCCUAUUAGUUAUUAGCAAAUGAGCAAAUCGUUUUUCUUUUAACUGUUUUUUUAAAGAAAAAAAAUAAAAGAAGAGGAGUUGGGGGAGAUAUUUUUUUAAUGGGAUUACUGUCAUUAUCCUCCUUGUCUCUGUAGUUCCCCCAGCUACAGAAAUUUGCCUCUGGACUCCAGAGUACACCAGGCUGUGGUUCUGAACAUAAAACAAUCCUGUAAUUUCCUUCAAGAACAAAAGUUUUCAAAGAAAUGACCUGCACAGUAUCCCCUUCAAUAAAGCAGAAGUGACUUAAUGGUCUGUUAAUUACUCCAUCCCUGCAGGGGGAGGGAAGCUUCCGAAUGGAUCGCUACAAACCCUCUGUUGACUGAAGCUGUGGUCUGUCCCCAAAUGUACAGCUGGGGCCGGGCCAUUGAAAACCCAGACAAAACAAAAUCCCUGAUAAAUAAUCCCACCUAGAACACAAAGAUUCAGCACUCAAUUGUUGGAUCUGCGCUGGAUCCUCAGAGAAGACCGGAGGGAGCUCCUUUGGGGCUUCCGGUAAUCUUUAAAGCUUGAGGCCAGGGGUUCUUGGACAAAAGUUAAAAAAAGAGCUUGUUUGACUUCUCUGUCCCCUUAUCCUUCUGUGUUGAAUUUCUUUCUCUUUAAUUUGGGGCUUUGACUAUAUUUUAUUUAUCC
rnacentral:lncRNA from 1 species